UACGUAGGGUGCGAGCGUUAAUCGGAAUUACUGGGCGUAAAGUGUGCGCAGGUGGCCGCGCAAGUCGAGUGUGAAAUCCCCGAGCUUAACUUGGGAAUUGCGCUCGAAACUACGUGGCUAGAGUGUGGCAGAGGGAGGUGGAAUUCCACGUGUAGCGGUGAAAUGCGCAGAGAUGUGGAGGAACACCAAUGGCGAAGGCAGCCUCCUGGGCCAACACUGACACUCAUGCACGAAAGCGUGGGGAGCAAACAGG
rnacentral:rRNA from 1 species